rnacentral:rRNA from 1 species
UACGUAGGGGGCAAGCGUUGUCCGGAAUUAUUGGGCGUAAAGAGCGUGUAGGCGGUCCGGUAAGUCAGCUGUGAAAGUCAAGGGCUCAACCCUUGAAAGCCGGUUGAUACUGUCGGGCUAGAGUCCGGAAGAGGCGAGUGGAAUUCCCGGUGUAGCGGUGAAAUGCGCAGAUAUCGGGAGGAACACCAAUGGCGAAGGCAGCUCGCUGGGACGGUACUGACGCUGAGGCGCGAAAAGCGUGGGGGAGCAAACAGGG